rnacentral:rRNA from 1 species
GACGAACGCUGGCGGCGUGCUUAACACAUGCAAGUCGAACGGAAAGGCCCUGCUUUUGUGGGGUGCUCGAGUGGCGAACGGGUGAGUAACACGUGAGUAACCUGCCCUUGACUUUGGGAUAACUUCAGGAAACUGGGGCUAAUACCGGAUAGGAGCUCCUGCUGCAUGGUGGGGGUUGGAAAGUUUCGGCGGUUGGGGAUGGACUCGCGGCUUAUCAGCUUGUUGGGGGGGUAGUUGCUUACCAAGGCUUUGACGGGUAGCCGGCCUGAGAGCGUGAACGGCCACAUUGGGACUGAGAUACGGCCCAGACUCCUACGGGAGGCAGCAGUGGGGAAUAUUGCACAAUGGGCGGAAGCCUGAGGCAGCAACGCCGCGUGCGGGAUGACGGCCUUCGGGUUGUAAACCGCUUUCGCCUGUGACGAAGCGUGAGUGACGGUAAUGGGUAAAGAAGCACCGGCUAACUACGUG